CCUACGGGAGGCUGCAGUGAGGAAUAUUGGUCAAUGGACGAGAGUCUGAACCAGCCAAGUAGCGUGAAGGAUGACUGCCCUAUGGGUUGUAAACUUCUUCUAUAUGGGAAUAAACUGUUCCUUGUGUGGGCUUUUGUAUGUACCUUAUGAAUAAGGAUCGGCUAACCCCGUGCCAGCAGCCCCGGUAAUACGGAGGAUCCGAGCGUUACCCGGAUUGAUUGGGUUUAAAGGGAGCGUAGGUGGAUUGUUAAGUCAGUUGUGAAAGUUUGCGGCUCAACCGGAAAAUUGCAGUUGAUACUGGGAGGCUUGAGUACAGUAGGGGUGGGCAGAAUUCGUGGUGUAGCGGUGAAAUGCUUAGAUAUCACGAAGAACUCCGAUUGCGAAGGCAGCUCACUGGACUGCAACUGACACUGAGGCUCGAAAGUGUGGGUAUCAAACAGGAUUAGAUACCCGAGUAGUC
rnacentral:rRNA from 1 species